CUUUAUGUAACUGCACGUUUCUUUCAGAAUCCUCCAUGCCGAUGCCUGCAACCAAACCAAUUACGUUGAAAAAAGCCAAGGAUUUUGUAGCCAAGGAUUCAGAUUGUUGAUGGGACUACUAAGGUAAGCAGUCAAAAGUAACUGCCCUUUUUUUCCUUUUCUUUUCUGAUGACUGUCCCUGUCUUCGUCAACGAUCACAUUAUCAGAUAAUCCCAAUAAAGAAAUUGAAAUUUGAAGUGUUGAUCCUUUGUGUGAAGUGUGAAAACUAGUUUUGGCAGUAAUUGCCAGUACGGGGACAUGGAAAAGACCUAUACUCGAAUCGACAAUCUCAACCGUCCAAAUCUGGUGGGAUAUGCCCCCAGUGUGAACCACACAUACUACUGUCCAGUUACUGGAGAGGGUGCGGGCUGUUGGAGCAAGAAUUUCAAUCGAGACUGUGAGUCUUCCUUGAAUCACUCUCUCUAUCACCACGACACACUACAUGAAUCUACCCCAUAUUUGCUUUCUCCAACAGACUACCUGCAACCAAGGAUGAUUCCGACAGAUUCCCCUACAACAAUCAAGUCAAGCAAAGAGACGGUCUAGAGAAAAAGGUAAGAGAGGAGAAGAAGAACAGUGAUGUAAAAUAUUUUACCUUACUUUUGCCUCGAGCUAGCUACUUCAUGUAUUUGCUUAAUUAGGUCUUGUUUGAGACAACUUAUUACUUUUUUUCUUGAGUUAAAUCAUAAUUUUUAAAAGGUAGUAUUA